rnacentral:rRNA from 1 species
AACGCGAAGAACCUUACCUACUCUUGACAUCCAGAGAAUUCGCUAGAGAUAGAUUGGUGCCUUCGGGAACUCUGAGACAGGUGCUGCAUGGCUGUCGUCAGCUCGUGUUGUGAAAUGUUGGGUUAAGUCCCGCAACGAGCGCAACCCUUAUCCUUUGUUGCCAGCGGUUCGGCCGGGAACUCAAAGGAGACUGCCAGUGAUAAACUGGAGGAAGGUGGGGAUGACGUCAAGUCAUCAUGGCCCUUACGAGUAGGGCUACACACGUGCUACAAUGGCAUAUACAAAGAGAAGCGACCUCGCGAGAGCAAGCGGACCUCAUAAAGUAUGUCGUAGUCCGGAUCGGAGUCUGCAACUCGACUCCGUGAAGUCGGAAUCGCUAGUAAUCGUAGAUCAGAAUGCUACGGUGAAUACGUUCCCGGGCCUUGUACACACCG